rnacentral:rRNA from 1 species
GACAGAGGGUGCAAACGUUGUUCGGAAUUACUGGGCGUAAAGCGCGUGUAGGCUGCCUCGCAAGUCGGAUGUGAAAGCCCUGGGCUCAACCUAGGAAGUGCAUUCGAAACUGCGCAGCUAGAGUCCUGGAGAGGAAGGUGGAAUGCUUGGUGUAGAGGUGAAAUUCGUAGAUAUCAAGCGGAACACCGGUGGCGAAGGCGGCCUUCUGGACAGUGACUGACGCUGAGAUGCGAAAGCGUGGGGAGCAAACAGG